GUAAAAAGAAGAAGUAGUAGACUUCCUGUCAGCUCAGUCCAGCCAGGCCAUUCUCCUCUGACCUCUAUAAUCAACAAGGAGUUUCGUGUCUCUCUCUCUGUGUGUGUGUGUGUGUGUGUGUAAACUAAGACUGCUGUGUAUAAAAUGUCCAGGAGAUUUCUAAAAUACAAAUUACUGCAUUGUGUUGCUGUAAAAUACUAAUUACUUAUGCAUUGUGUUGCUGCCAUAUAAUUGGUUAAUCGGAUUGAUGCCUUAAUUGCUGCAUUAUAGCAUAUGCAAUGUGAAUCUUAAAACAGGAAACAAAUACAUUCUCUCUGUGUGUGUAUGCACCUCUCUCUCUCUCUCUCUCUCUCUCUCUCUCUCUCUCUCUCUCUCUCUCUUUGUACAAACACAAGAAGUGGUAUGGCUUUAACACACACUACUGCUCUGUCACUCAGUCAGUCAUUAAAGGGACAGGACAGAGUUCAUUCCACUUGCUGUGAUGUUCUACUAUUGUGUGUGAAAAUUCCAGCAGCUUUCUGAAGCAAGUUACUGCAGAGGUUUAUGCAUUGUGCUGCUGCUACGUGAUUGGCUGAUUGGAUUGCUGUAUGUUAAAGCAGGAAUUAUUUAGGCUUUAACACACCCUACUGCUCUGUCACUCUGUCAGUCAUUACAUGGACAGAAUGGAGU